rfam:Ciona savignyi cont_30047, whole genome shotgun sequence.
GUCGUCGUGGCCGAGUGGUUAAGGCGACAGACUAUAAAUCUGUUGGGCUCUGCCCGCACACGUUCGAAUCCUGUCGGCGACG